CCGUCUCUAAUAUCCCUGCUGCGAGGCCCGCGGGCUGUGGAAUCUCGCACGUCACCUGGCCCCAGCAGGGCAGCCAGCUGAGAGUUCAUUUUAUUUUAUUUUUAUUUUAUUUUUUGAAGUUAAGGCUGAAUCUCGGCUUCAGUGCUUUUUGGCAACGUCUCCACUGACAGGAACCAGCAAACUUCAGGACUCAAAUGAGCGUCUUAAUUUAUUGAUGCAAAACAGGUCUGCUUGUCGCCCCCAGUUCUCGGCGCGCUCUGUCCCCCACGCCCCCAGCUUCGGUCCCUUCAUUUGAUCUCAGGACAUCUUUCUGAACCACUUGUGCCCACCCACUCUGCACACUGCAUUGUGACCCACUUCCAGACCUCCUGGAUGACUUGAAAUCAAUGCUUACUGAGAACAAAGUUGGAGAAGUAACAUGGAAUUUCUUAACUUGUAGCAGAAAAGGUGGAGUGCUCAUGAUUAUAAGCAUCACGAUUCUAACCUCUGAGGGGUCGAGAGGCGUCAAAGAAAACAGUUUACGAGCUGAGACGAGGUCAUGUAUGAACUCUAGAGACGGCCACUGAAAGUUGUGAAGGAGACAAAGCAAAAUGUCCCACUAAUUUUGACCGCCUUCACGAGGAGAAUCAGAGAAGACUAUCGACGUGAAUUCUGCGCAUCUUCACCAGGAGAUCCGUGGUCCCUUGCUCUCCAGAUGCGCUAUAAGAUACAUCCUGCAUCUAGCAUGUUGAACGAUCUCCAAAAUCUCUGAUGCCUAAGCCAUGUCCUAUUGUCCAGAUUAAGACAUUUUUCCUUUAAAGCAGUACAGUAUAAAGGAUAUGGGGCUGUCAUAUUGGCAGUAGUUGGCUAGGAGACUUCUGACCCCAGCACAAUUCACUACUGGUGGAGAGCCAGGGCUAUUAACUGCAGUGGUUGCCUUCAAGAAGCCCCUGAGAUGGAAUAUUCUGGAGAUGUUAAGAGGGACACCCUUUCCGGUUGGAGGAAGACCAUUUUUAAGACAAAAGAAUAUGGGUGGCUGCACUCCUCUGCUAGGACCUACACCAGAGUUAAUACGAAAGCUUCACAUGUGAGAUAAAUGCCCUCCAAGACUCCUCACAAGUAGCUCUUUGGAGCUUCAGAUGUGAAAUGGAUCAUUCCUCAAUCUGUAAUAGACCCUUCUGUGAAGCUCUUCAAUCAAACCUGAGAAUUCAAGGCAUUUUGUAGCAUCCUAAACAGAAGGAUAUUGAAGGGAGCUGAUUCUGCUUUGAUCCUUGUGCUUGUUGUCAAAGCGCUUGGGAUUGAAGAGACUGUUGGCUACAAUUGACUGUGACAAUUAGGAGAUGAUCAGAGCCCUAGAGUGGAGCACUUAAAGGGUAAUUUACAUGUCAGUUUGUCGAAUAAAAAAAAAAAAAAAAGAUAUUCAGCUAAGAUUUUUUUCCCUUCAGAGCCUUGUAAACUGCAAUUUGUGCUCUGGUAAGAAAAACCUGGCAGAGGAGUUAGGAUAGCCAUUACCAUUUGAAAAGAAGCAAUCAUAAGGCCGCUGCUGAGCCCUUUGUCCACUAAAAAUGCUGAUUUGCAGGCAGUGAGUGAAAAAGUGGAACCGUCACUAAAUAAAACGUAGAGCUAGGUAACUACCCACUCCCCCCCCCCUUGGUGACUUUUUAAUGUUGGU